GACGAACGCUGGCGGCGUGCUUAACACAUGCAAGUCGAACGAUGAAGCCGGAGCUUGCUCUGGUGAAUUAGUGGCGAACGGGUGAGUAACACGUGAGUAACCUGCCCUUGACUCUGGGAUAACUGCUAGAAAUGGUAGCUAAUACCGGAUACGACCCUCGGAGGUAUCUUCAAGGGGUGGAAAGAAUUUCGGUCAAGGAUGGACUCGCGGCCUAUCAGCUAGUUGGUGAGGUAAUGGCUCACCAAGGCGACGACGGGUAGCCGGCCUGAGAGGGUGACCGGCCACACUGGGACUGAGACACGGCCCAGACUCCUACGGGAGGCAGCAGUGGGGAAUAUUGCACAAUGGGCGCAAGCCUGGUGCAGCAACGCCGCGUGAGGGAUGACGGCCUUCGGGUUGUAAACCUCUUUUAGUAGGGAAGAAGCGAAAGUGACGGUACCUGCAGAAAAAGCACCGGCUAACUACGUGCCAGCAGCCGCCGUAA
rnacentral:rRNA from 1 species